rfam:Agrilus planipennis Contig32239, whole genome shotgun sequence.
GUGUUUUUGCUUUAAGUGGGUGAGGGUUUGGUGCAUGUUCUUUCAUUUCAUGACUAGAUCCACACUCAUCAAAAGCGUAAGACC